rnacentral:lncRNA from 1 species
GAUCUAUUCGCAAGCUCCGACUGAAUUAUCCCAUCUGAAAGUUAUGGCUUUCAAAUCACAGCCUAUUUCCUCAAGAGAGGGAUACGCCUUCGCUGCAUCAGGAGCACACAGAAUGCUGAACUCUGUGUAUUCCCUGACAGAUUUGUGGUUUGUGUCAGUCAGCUUGCAUUCAGUCGUGAUCUUUUAGCAAGUCAGAAUGAAGAUUUGACAGAAAGAGUUCUCC